GAUCAUAUGAGACCACACCCCUUAUAUGAGAACCUGAUAUAUAUGAGGACAUAUUACAAUCGUUGGAUCAAUUGCAUCAAAUGGCUACUAUUUAUCCCGGUCAAACAUAAUUUAAAAAAAAAAUAAAAAAAUUGGCAUUUUGCAAGUUAUUUUCUCUCUCCUCCUUCAUCACCGUUGCUGAAGAAACCCAUGAAUUUCCCUCACUUGCAGCUAUUUUCUCUCAUCUCCCUCUGGAUUUCCAGCAAAACCUACGAUUCUCCCUCUCUUAUUGUUCAAAUUUCUUUUAUUGUUCAAAUCCCUCACAUUCUCUCUCUGAAAUUUCAACUUAGGGGCUUCACUUAGAUGAUGAUAAAAUCGGCGAUAUUCAAUUAUUCAUCAUCAAAUUGUUUUAAGUUUUGCAAUUUAAUCACUUAAUUCCUGUAUUAUUCGAUUUUUUUUUCAUAAUGUUGUUCAAUUUUGCUCUUUUUUUCAAUAUUUUGUAUGUUUCUUCGGCUUAAUUUUUUUUAUCAUUUGUAUACUUUUUCAUGCUAAAUUAUGGUUUUGAUUGUUCCAAUUGGAUGACAUUUCAAUACAUUCUUUGUGUGUGUUCAAUUGUUCUGAGUUUUGUUUAUUUUCCGAAUUUUGUGUUUGCGAUCGAUUUUUCGAUGAUAUUUUGCUGAAUAUUAUGUGUUAUAUGGAGUCACUUCCAUGCUCUGAUUACUGUAAUGUUUUUGAUAAACCUUAUAUGGUGUUAGAUGUUGCUGCAUUGGAGAAUCUGGAAAUAUUUGAGAACAGUAGAAAUGGGGGCUCCUCUGGGAUAGGAUAUUAGAAAUGGUUCAAGGAGCAUGCGCCCAGUUCCAAGUAUCUCCUUGUUCCCUCAAAGCAUCCGGUCUGCUCCAUCCAAAAUCCAAACCAGUCACGGGUCUGGCAGUCCAAUAUCUGUCAACAGUAAUGGAUCAGUAAUGGAAGUACACAUUCUAAUGGGUUGCUUGAGAACGGGAAGAAAGAAGGGGUUGUUUGGGAGAUUGACUGGAGCAGACAUGUACGAGAGCACCCGAUAUGACGCAAUCCUACUAAAAGAGGAUCUGAAGAACACUACUUGGCUGCAUAGCGUGGAUGAUAUGUCUGAUCAGUGUUCCGUUUUCGAAAAUAGCCUCUGCCAGAACCAUUUGGCCUCUCAUGAUUGGUUCCUCAUUUCCGUAUUUUACAUAUAUCCGAUCUUUCAAAUUGAUUAUAUCAAAAGUUAUAUGAUUAUCUCUGCGUGAUCGAAUGUCUCAUUUUUGAUUGAAGAAGAGCUGAAUGUUUAUUGAUUGAUUGUUUUGCAAAGAAAUGUCUAGGUUUCCCAUGUUCUCGAGUCCUGAUGUAAUUGAUAAGUACAUUAUAACUUAAUGCCCUGGAUACUCCAUGCAAUAGUCAUAUAGUUAUGUACAAUUGAUUAAUUUCGCAAUGAUAUAUAUAUUGAUGAUUAUGUGUUAUCAUUUAA